GACAGGGGGUGCAAACGUUGUUCGGAAUUACUGGGCGUAAAGCGCGUGUAGGCGGCUUUGCAAGUCGGGCGUGAAAUCCCAUGGCUCAACCAUGGAAGUGCACUCGAAACUGCAGAGCUAGAGUCCUGGAGAGGAAGGUGGAAUGCUUGGUGUAGAGGUGAAAUUCGUAGAUAUCAAGCGGAACACCGGUGGCGAAAGGCGGCCUUCUGGACAGUGACUGACGCUGAGGAGCGAAAGCCAGGGGAGCAAACGGG
rnacentral:rRNA from 1 species